rnacentral:rRNA from 1 species
AGAAUCAACGCUGGCGGCGUGCCUCAGACAUGCAAGUCGAACGAUUAAAGCUCUCUUCGGAGAGUGCAUAGAGUGGCGCACGGGUGAGUAACACGUAAGUAAUCUACCUUUGAGUGGGGAAUAACGCUCGGAAACGGACGCUAAUACCGCAUAAUGCAGCGGCAUCGCAAGAUGACAGUUGUUAAAGGAGCAACCCGCUUAAAGAGGAGCUUGCGGCAGAUUAGCUUGUUGGUAAGGUAACGGCUUACCAAGGCUACGAUCUGUAUCCGGUCUAAGAGGACGGUCGGACACACUGACACUGAAUAACGGGUCAGACUCCGUACGGGAGGCAGCAGGUCGGGAAUUUGGGCAAGUCGGGGGAAACCCCGACCAGCCGAACGCCGCGUGAAGAUGAAGUA